rnacentral:lncRNA from 1 species
CUAGUCUCGUGUAAGACCUUCCAGAUAUUCCUCUUGGAUGAUUAUUUACCUGACGUCUAUUUACCUGUUGUUUGUUUGCAAGUCUCCUAUCGCCGAUCUCCAGUGUCCAGUUCCUUAUCCCCAGUCAUCAGCUCUGUGUUUCCAUCUGCAAGUGUUGUGUGCUCUUCCUACAAAAAAGGAAAAGGCCCAAACAAACCAGAGAAAACACUGACAUCAAUCCACAUCAGUGUUCUUACUCUCUCAGAAAACAUGAUGGCAUUAGAGAAGAGAUAGACAAAUCAAAGGAGGGGAACAGACUGUGGAGUGUCUCCUAAAAGAUGACCUGCUGUGACGGAGAGGAAAUUAAGGGCUUUAGAGCUGCUUGUGUGUAUCUUUCUCUGACUUACACAACUCCAGCCAUCUACCAUGAGAAUAAUAGCAGAGUGUCAGAUCAGUUCAAGGACAACAAACUCAACAGCUUUAUAAUGAGGCUGUUCGAUCACUUUCAAUGGACUUCUGUUUUACACUAAGUGACAGACGGACACCAGAUGUUAGAAACUUCCAUCUAUGGACUUGAUCAUAUUGUGCCUAUUAUUAAAAAGGAAAUUUUAAUAUGUUUGAAUUGGUUCUUCUUUCGAUGCAAGUGGCAUCUGGUGUUUAGCAAUGGAG